rnacentral:rRNA from 1 species
UACGGAGGGUGCAAGCGUUAUCCGGAUUUACUGGGUUUAAAGGGUGCGCAGGCGGAUAUGUAAGUCAGUGGUGAAAUCUCUAGGCUUAACCUGGAAAUUGCCGUUGAUACUAUAUAUCUUGAAUGCUGUGGAGGUAAGCGGAAUAUGUCAUGUAGCGGUGAAAUGCUUAGAUAUGACAUAGAACACCUAUUGCGAAGGCAGCUUACUACGCAGAUAUUGACGCUCAUGCACGAAAGCGUGGG